rnacentral:lncRNA from 1 species
GGAGGGUACCUCUACUUCCACAAGGCCCCCAACAAGGAGGAGCUCCACCGUGAAACCUGUCACAAGGUGAACGAAAUAGAAAUGUUCAGAAAAGCAGUAGAUUCAGAAACCCUGACACAAUUAUCAUUCUGUAGAUCAAAGCUCUGCACCAGUAUGAUUGCUUGAGGGCCAACAAGGCAACUUCUGCAUGGGGCCUUGAAGCACGUGUUCCGUUCUUGGACAAGGAGUUUAUCAAUGAGGCAAUGAGCAUAGAUCCAGAGUGGAAAAUGGUAUGCUCAAGCUCGAAUACCUCACAAAUCUAGGAACUUGAGAAAGGCGUUACUGUAUUGGUUUUAAAUACCUUCCUAGUUUCUACUUUUAAACAAUUACCAUUUCCGAUCUUACAGAUCCGGCCUGAUCUUGGAAGAAUUGAGAAGUGGGUGCUGAGGAAAGCAUUUGAUGACGAGGAGCAGCCUUUCCUGCCAAAGGUAAUAUUUUAGUUGAAAUUUCUGCUACAUUCACAUGUUAUAAGAGCAAGUGGAGUUAACAGUUUCUGUUGCGUUACAACCGCAGCAUAUUCUGUACAGGCAGAAAGAGCAGUUCAGUGAUGGUGUUGGCUAUAGCUGGAUUGAUGGCCUAAAGGCUCACGCAGAAUCGAAUGUAAAUAGCUGCUGCUUCUCAUGUUCAGACACACUAGUGUUUAUCCUCAAAAUUAAGGCCACAUAUAAAAAAAUUCUAUAAAUGAUGUGAUUGCAAUCUAUAUGAAAUUACUAAUGCAGGUGACUGAUAAGAUGAUGUCAAAUGCAAAGUUCAUCUACCCACACAACACCCCGACAACAAAAGAAGCCUACUAUUACAGGAUGAUCUUUGAGAGGUUCUUCCCCCAGGCAAGUAAAUGAAACAGCAUGAACUUGAAACAGAAAACUCACAUCACCGUAGGAACCGCUAGGUUGAUAAGUGUGCCUGUUGCUCUUGUACCAGAACUCGGCGAUCCUGACGGUGCCAGGCGGACCAAGCGUGGCAUGCAGCACAGCGAAGGCGGUAGAAUGGGAUGCUCAGUGGU